ACAAGGAACAAGAUGUAUUGUUUGAUAAGUGGUUUAAACCGCAUAAGUUAGUCAUAAAACUUCUAAGAAAUGGACAUCAACAUGGACAAAAUGCAACAAGAUGUCCCUAAAUACAUAGACACAUUGACAUUAGACAAGUGCAGUAGAUUGAUAGAGUAGAUAUAAGCCACAAAUCGAGCUAGUAAUGCUUGUUCAAUUAAAAUAUAUGAUUGAUUGGAAGUAGAGUGAUAUGGUGCUUCCAACUAGAAAUCAACCUUCUCCCAGCCGACCCUUGCUCUCUCUCUC
rnacentral:lncRNA from 1 species